rnacentral:rRNA from 1 species
GAUGAACGCUGGCGGCGUGCCUAAUACAUGCAAGUCGAGCGAACAGACGAGGAGCUUGCUCCUCUGAUGUUAGCGGCGGACGGGUGAGUAACACGUGGAUAACCUACCUAUAAGACUGGGAUAACUUCGGGAAACCGGAGCUAAUACCGGAUAACAUGUUGAACCGCAUGGUUCAACAGUGAAAGACGGUCUUGCUGUCACUUAUAGAUGGAUCCGCGCCGCAUUAGCUAGUUGGUAAGGUAACGGCUUACCAGGGCAACGAUGCGUAGCCGACCUGAGAGGGUGAUCGGCCACACUGGAACUGAGACACGGUCCAGACUCCUACGGGAGGCAGCAGUAGGGAAUCUUCCGCAAUGGGCGAAAGCCUGACGGAGCAACGCCGCGUGAGUGAAGAAGGUCUUCGGAUCGUAAAACUCUGUUAUUAGGGAAGAACAAAUGUGUAAGUAACUAUGCACGUCUUGACGGUACCUAAUCAGAAAGCCACGGCUAACUACGUG